ACAUGCAAGUCGAACGGUAACAGGCCGCAAGGUGCUGACGAGUGGCGAACGGGUGAGUAAUGCAUCGGAACGUGCCCAGUCGUGGGGGAUAACGCAGCGAAAGCUGCGCUAAUACCGCAUACGAUCUAUGGAUGAAAGCGGGGGACCGUAAGGCCUCGCGCGAUUGGAGCGGCCGAUGUCAGAUUAGGUAGUUGGUGGGGUAAAGGCUCACCAAGCCGACGAUCUGUAGCUGGUCUGAGAGGACGACCAGCCACACUGGGACUGAGACACGGCCCAGACUCCUACGGGAGGCAGCAGUGGGGAAUUUUGGACAAUGGGCGCAAGCCUGAUCCAGCAAUGCCGCGUGCAGGAAGAAGGCCUUCGGGUUGUAAACCGCUUUUGUACGGAACGAAAAGGCUCUGGUUAAUACCUGGGGCUCAUGACGGUACCGUAAGAAUAAGCACCGGCUAACUACGUGCCAGCAGCCGCGGUAAUACGUAGGGUGCGAGCGUUAAUCGGAAUUACUGGGCGUAAAGCGUGCGCAGGCGGUUUUGUAAGACAGGCGUGAAAUCCCCGGGCUUAACCUGGGGAUUGCGCUUGUGACUGCAAGGCUGGAGUGCGGCAGAGGGGGAUGGAAUUCCGCGUGUAGCAGUGAAAUGCGUAGAUAUGCGGAGGAACACCGAUGGCGAAGGCAAUCCCCUGGGCCUGCACUGACGCUCAU
rnacentral:rRNA from 1 species